rnacentral:rRNA from 1 species
GUGGGGAAUAUUGGGCAAUGGGGGAAACCCUGACCCAGCAACGCCGCGUGAGGGAAGAAGGUUUUCGGAUUGUAAACCUCUGUCCUUGGUGACGAAGGAAGUGACGGUAACCAAGGAGGAAGCCCCGGCUAACUACGUGCCAGCAGCCGCGGUAAUACGUAGGGGGCAAGCGUUGUCCGGAAUGACUGGGCGUAAAGGGCGUGUAGGCGGCCGAUUAAGUCUGGAGUGAAAGUCCUGCUUUCAAGGUGGGAAUUGCUUUGGAGACUGGUUGGCUUGAGUGCGGAAGAGGUAAGUGGAAUUCCCAGUGUAGCGGUGAAAUGCGUAGAGAUUGGGAGGAACACCAGUGGCGAAGGCGACUUACUGGGCCGUAACUGACGCUGAGGCGCGAAAGCGUGGGGAGCGAACAGGAUUAGAAACCCGGGUAGUCC